UACGAAGGGGGCUAGCGUUGCUCGGAAUGACUGGGCGUAAAGGGCGCGUAGGCGGUUUGGACAGUCAGGCGUGAAAUUCCUGGGCUUAACCUGGGGGGCUGCGCUUGAUACAUCCAGACUUGAGUGGGGAAGAGGGUCGUGGAAUUCCCAGUGUAGAGGUGAAAUUCGUAGAUAUUGGGAAGAACACCAGUGGCGAAGGCGGACUUCCUGGCCUGUUCUUGACGCUGAGGCGCGAAAAGCUAGGGGAGCAAACGGGG
rnacentral:rRNA from 1 species